GAUGAACGCUGGCGGCGUGCCUAAUACAUGCAAGUCGAGCGAACAGAUGAGGAGCUUGCUCCUCUGACGUUAGCGGCGGACGGGUGAGUAACACGUGGAUAACCUACCUAUAAGACUGGGAUAACUUCGGGAAACCGGAGCUAAUACCGGAUAAUAUAUUGAACCGCAUGGUUCAAUAGUGAAAGACGGUUUUGCUGUCACUUAUAGAUGGAUCCGCGCCGCAUUAGCUAGUUGGUAAGGUAACGGCUUACCAAGGCAACGAUGCGUAGCCGACCUGAGAGGGUGAUCGGCCACACUGGAACUGAGACACGGUCCAGACUCCUACGGGAGGCAGCAGUAGGGAAUCUUCCGCAAUGGGCGAAAGCCUGACGGAGCAACGCCGCGUGAGUGAUGAAGGUCUUCGGAUCGUAAAACGCUGUUAUUAGGGAAGAACAAAUGUGUAAGUAACUAUGCACGUCUUGACGGGACCUAAUCAGAAAGCCACGGCUAACUACGU
rnacentral:rRNA from 1 species